rnacentral:rRNA from 1 species
UACAGAGGGUGCAAGCGUUAAUCGGAAUUACUGGGCGUAAAGCGCAUGUAGGUGGGUUUAUAAGUUUGAUGUGAAAGCCCCGGGCUUAACCUGGGAAUGGCAUUGAAUACUGUGGAACUUGAGUCGGUGAGAGGGCAGUGGAAUUUCCGGUGUAGCGGUGAAAUGCGUAGAGAUCGGAAAGAACAUCAGUGGCGAAGGCGUCUGCCUGGCACCAGACUGACACUUAAGUGCGAAAGCGUGGGGAGCAAACAGG